AGAAUCAACGCUGGCGGCGUGCCUCAGACAUGCAAGUCGAACGCGAAAGCCCCCUUCGGGGGCAAGUAGAGUGGCGCACGGGUGAGUAACACGUAGGUAAUCUACCUUCGGAUGGGGAAUAACAAUCGGAAACGAUUGCUAAUACCGCAUAAUGCAGCGGCACCUAAUGGUGACAGUUGUUAAAGCGGGGGAUCGAAAGACCUCGCGUCUGAAGAGGAGCCUGCGGCGGAUUAGCUAGUUGGUAAGGUAAUGGCUUACCAAGGCAACGAUCC
rnacentral:rRNA from 1 species